GAUGAACGCUGGCGGCGUGCUUAACACAUGCAAGUCGAACGGGAAACCUUUUAAUGAAGCUUCGGCAGAUUUAGCUGGUUUCUAGUGGCGGACGGGUGAGUAACGCGUGGGUAACCUGCCUUAUACAGGGGGAUAACAGUCAGAAAUGACUGCUAAUACCGCAUAAGCGCACAGGACCGCAUGGUCCGGUGUGAAAAACUCCGGUGGUAUAAGAUGGACCCGCGUUGGAUUAGCUUGUUGGUGGGGUAACGGCUCGCCAAGGCGACGAUCCAUAGCCGGCCUGAGAGGGUGAACGGCCACAUUGGGACUGAGACACGGCCCAGACUCCUACGGGAGGCAGCAGUGGGGAAUAUUGCACAAUGGGGGAAACCCUGAUGCAGCGACGCCGCGUGAAGGAAGAAGUAUCUCGGUAUGUAAACUUCUAUCAGCAGGGAAGAUAGUGACGGUACCUGACUAAGAAGCCCCGGCUAACUACGUG
rnacentral:rRNA from 1 species